rnacentral:hammerhead_ribozyme from 1 species
AUCCAGCUCACCAGUCUCAAACAGGACGAAACGUGCGUCCUGGAU